rnacentral:rRNA from 1 species
UACGUAGGGUCCAAGCGUUAUCCGGAAUUACUGGGCGUAAAGAGUUGCGUAGGUGGCAUGGCAAGUAGAUAGUGAAAGCGUGUGGCUCAACCAUACAUACAUUAUCUAAACUGCUAAGCUAGAGUAUGAGAGAGGUAGAUGGAAUUCUCUGUGUAGGAGUGAAAUCCGUAGAUAUAGGGAGGAACACCAAUGGCGUAAGCAGUCUACUGGCUCAUUACUGACACUAAGGCACGAAAGCGUGGGGAGCAAACGGG